CCUACGGGGAGGCAGCAGUGGGGAAUAUUGCACAAUGGGCGCAAGCCUGAUGCAGCAACGCCGCGUGAGGGACGAAGGCCUUCGGGUUGUAAACCUCUUUUAGCAGGGAAGAAGCGAAAGUGACGGUACCUGCAGAAAAAGCACCGGCUAACUACGUGCCAGCAGCCGCGGUAAUACGUAGGGUGCAAGCGUUGUCCGGAAUUAUUGGGCGUAAAGAGCUCGUAGGCGGUUUGUCACGUCUGCUGUGAAAAUUCGAGGCUCAACCUCGAACUUGCAGUGGGUACGGGCAGGCUAGAGUGCGGUAGGGGAGAUGGGAAUUCCUGGUGUAGCGGUGGAAUGCGCAGAUAUCAGGAGGAACACCAAUGGCGAAGGCACAUCUCUGGGCCGUAACUGACGCUGAGGAGCGAAAGCAUGGGGAGCAAACAGGAUUAGAUACCCUGGUAGUCCACGCCGUAAACGGUGGGUGCUAGAUGUGGGCCACAUUCCAC
rnacentral:rRNA from 1 species